CCUACGGGAGGCAGCAGUGAGGAAUAUUGGUCAAUGGGCGUAAGCCUGAACCAGCCAAGUCGCGUGAGGGAUGAAGGUUCUAUGGAUCGUAAACCUCUUUUGUAAGGGAGUAAAGUGUGGGACGUGUCCUAUUUUGUAUGUACCUUGUGAAUAAGGAUCGGCUAACUCCGGGCCAGCCGCCGGGGUAAUACGGAGGAUCGGAGCGUUAUCCGGGUUUAUUUGGUUUAAAGGGUGCGGAGGCGGCCAUUUAAGUCCGCGGGUAAAGUCUGGGGCCCAACCAUAGACUAGCCGUUGAAACUGGGGGGCUUGAGUAGGUUAGAGGCAUGCGGAAUGCGUGGUGUAGCGGUGAAAUGCUUAGAUAUCACGCAGAACCCCGAUUGCGAAGGCAGCCUGCCAAGCCCCGACUGACGCUGAUGCACGAAAGCGUGGGGAUCAAACAGGAUUAGAUACCCGAGUAGUC
rnacentral:rRNA from 1 species